ACCAGACUCCUACGGGAGGCAGCAGUGGGGGAUAUUGCACAAUGGGGGGAACCCUGAUGCAGCGACGCCGCGUGGGUGAAGAAGCGCCUCGGCGCGUAAAGCCCUGUCAGCAGGGAAGAAAAUGACGGUACCUGAAGAAGAAGCCCCGGCUAACUACGUGCCAGCAGCCGCGGUAAUACGUAGGGGGCAAGCGUUAUCCGGAUUUACUGGGUGUAAAGGGGGCGCAGACGGCGAUGCAAGCCAGGAGUGAAAGCCCGGGGCCCAACCCCGGGACUGCUCUUGGAACUGCGUGGCUGGAGUGCAGGAGGGGCAGGCGGAAUUCCUGGUGUAGCGGUGAAAUGCGUAGAUAUCAGGAGGAACACCGGUGGCGAAGGCGGCCUGCUGGACUGCAACUGACGUUGAGGCCCGAAAGCGUGGGGAGCAAACAGGAUUAGAUACCCCGGUAAU
rnacentral:rRNA from 1 species